rnacentral:rRNA from 1 species
GGCGGCAGGCCUAACACAUGCAAGUCGAGCGGUAGCACAAGAGAGCUUGCUCUCUGGGUGACGAGCGGCGGACGGGUGAGUAAUGUCUGGGAAACUGCCUGAUGGCGGGGGAUAACUAGUGGAAACGGUAGCUAAUACCGCAUAACGUCGCAAGACCAAAGUGGGGGACCUUCGGGCCUCACGCCAUCAGAUGUGCCCAGGUAGGAUUAGCUGGUAGGUGGGGUAACGGCUCACCUAGGCGACGAUCCCUAGCUGGUCUGAGAGGAUGACCAGCCACACUGGAACUGAGACACGGUCCAGACUCCUACGGGAGGCAGCAGUGGGGAAUAUUGCACAAUGGGCGCAAGCCUGAUGCAGCCAUGCCGCGUGUGUGAAGAAGGCCUUCGGGUUGUAAAGCACUUCAGCGAGGAGAA